GCUUGUGGAUCUGCUAAUCUCCUUUUAAAAUAAGAUUCGCGCAACACAGAUACACAAAUUCGAUUCAGAAAACAUAAUCAGUAGCCAAAACGAGAGAAAUUGCGCCCAAUCAAACGCACUUCAGAUUUCAUUGUUUAAACAUAAAUUCGAUAGAGAAAACAUAAUCAGUAGCCAAAACGAGAGAAAUACUAUAUUUUCUUCUUAAAUAAUUUUAUUGUCACGUGGGUCACCGACCUCACUACAUAAU